AGGAAUAAACGCUUCAACAUAAAGGGAAAGCCCAGUCCGGAAGACCCAAAGACCCUGCAAGCAAAUGGCGGCAGCCAAUCCAACAUCAGCGAUAAACAACCUGGCUGGAAGGCGAGAAUCAAGCAGAGGAAAGCAAACAGAGUCGCAUUUGGCUUGGAGGUCGGAGAUAUGAACGGAAGCUGUAGAGAAAGAGACGGAGUAUUGCAAGAAGAAGAGAGCAGAACCGAAAGCGGAGAAGAGAUCAGGAAGGAGAGGAAGAAUAGUAGUAGUUUCAGAGUGAAGAAGAGCGAUAGAGACGAGAAGAAAGAGGAAAAGAAGAGCAGCGGACUGGAAGGAGGUGAAGCGGUGGACAGCUCUGAAGAGAAGAAUAUUUGGUAGAUCAAGAAUGCCAUUUAUGUAUUUUGGAGGUUUGAUUUUGAAGCACACGGCUGCCUGCCGAUAACUUUUGGUACGCGUUUUGAGAUGGAUGAAAACUCAGGUCCAAAAAUUAAUUAAGAUUCCUAUUCAUGAAAUUAAACCCAUUGAUGUAAUUGACAAUUUUGAUUUGGUAUUCCAACUACAAGCAAUUGAAUAUUGAUGAGGAACUAUGAAAGAUAUUACAGGUUUUCCAAUGGGCAAA
rnacentral:misc_RNA from 1 species